GAUGUGCGAGCAUCAAUUUUUACACUUCACAACCUAUCUAGAGGAUUCUGCAAGCGUGCGAGCUAGGCUGUAACAUUUGAGCAAUAUCCUUCUUUAGGUAAUCGUGUUGUGCGUACCUUCAAAUCUAUGUACCUAGCAUAAUUGAAAAUGAAAACAUUAAGAACUAGAUAACAUAAUUCUUCUUCACAAAUCUUUUGUAUGACUCAGCUCUAUACUGUUUAAUUAUCACCACAAAAAACAAAAGCAAAGAAAUUCACAAGCAAUUAAUUUUAUAUCAUUCAAGUAUUUCCAUACCACAUAUAUUGCUUUCUAUAUUAGAAUUUAUUGAAUGAGAAACAAUGUAUUAAACUCCAUGAAGGAGAAGAUGAAUUACACUCCAUGAAAGGAGGAAAUGAACAGCUCCAUAAAAGGAGGAAGACACUCCAUAAUAGGAGGAAAUGAAAUCUCCAUGGAAGGAGGGAUUGGAGGACAAUCCAAUAGACUAAAAAUUCAUCCACGGUGCUGUAUUUAUAGAGCAAAAUGGCUAAAGUAAUUAACUAACUAAUUAGCUAAUUAACAAACUAAUCAAUAACUAACUAACAACUAAGACAGCUGGACACAACCGUUUUGGAAUCUGAUAUGUUGAGAUGGAAGUCUCUAGAAUCUGGUGCACACAUGAUGCUGGAAUCUGCUGAUGUUUGGUGCAUGUGUAUUCCAACAUUCUAUUCUUUAUCUAUGUCGUUUGAUUUUUGAUAAUUUUAAAGCAACGUUUAAAAUUCUCCAAAAGGGAUUUCUAUUAUGUUUCACAACCUUAUGUUGACCAUAUUAUCUUUGUAGUAUACGCCGUAAAAAAGAGUUGAAGUGAAUUUUUUCCUGUUGAGAUGAGCCAAUUAGUGGUAGAUUUAUAUGUGUUGUUGUGUAUGUAUUUUCGCAGUUUGUAUAAUAUAUCUGCAAGAACGUAGGAUUUGACUUUUGAAAAUAGCUCUGAUUCACCAUGUCUCAGAAACUGGUUUGACAUAUCCAGCAAGCAAGAAGUGAUACAAAAGUUGAGACAACAAUUAAAGAGAAAAGAUUACAUGAUGCUAGAAAUACAAGAUCAGAUUGCAAAACUUUGAGACUCUUUGUGAAGUGCAUUUGUAUUCUUUCCAUCUACAAUAGCUGCUCGAUUCUACAAACAGGGAUCUGUUUGAUUCCAAAGGAAAAUAUAGAGAUUAAGAAAGGCAAUUGCAGAUAAUUAUGGGGGACAUAUGGUUUUUAGUGACAAUUCCCUUGCUGUUCAUCUAGCAGAAGGAAGGAAUGGCCACACAAAUGGAUAUUCCGAGAUUGAAAGCAAUCUUGAUUCUUAAGAAAAAGGGAGAGGAGAUUGGGAUAUAACAUUGAAACAUUAAGAAGGGAAGUCAGGGGGUGAAAAGAAGUAAUAAUCCAAAAUCUCAAAACUUUUGGGCUGUCGUAUCUUAUCUAAACUCAAAAUAUUAGAAAUUUCAAACAUAUGUUUUUUUACGUGUGAUAAGGAUUAAGAAUAAAAGUAGAUGUCAUGGUAUCUUGUUAAUAUAUAACUGAGAAAACAUUUUGAAAAAAAAAUAAAAUAAAAGAUAAUUAUUUUUAGAAGUGAAAAGUUAUAUCGUUGAAUUAAUUUUCAUGUUAUUAUAUUUAUUCAAGACAUCUUUCGGUAAGCUUCCAAGAUUGAGCUUCUUGUUCAUCUUGUGGAAUUAAUUGAUGAUUGUAGGUGUUUAGUCAAGAAAGCUUGUUUGGUUUUACCGUUCUUGAUUAAUCUUUAGGUUCGAUUGAUUUUCUUGAUUUUGGUUUUUUUUUUCAUUAGUAAGCAAAAAGAAAAAAAAAACAUUUUUGCUGUUCUGAUUAUAUGUCAUAAUUUAUUGUAUCUAUUUAAUGAGUUAAACCAUGUGGUAUUGCCUAAUUGUUUCUAUGCACAACUAAAAAACAAUGUAAUUUCGUUCUUCACAUGUCCUAUUACUAAAUAGUAUUUGAUCUUUUUCACUUAGCUUGCACUUUAGCAACAUGAGUUUUUGUUGACUUCCUUGAAGUGAGAUGUGUUUGAUGUUACAGGUGCCUUCCAGAAUUUCAGGGACUACAUCAAAUUUUGUGAUUAAUAAACCCGAGAUUUAAUUUAAACAACCCAAUUUCCUGCAAUUUAUGAAGGAAGCUAAGGAUAUGGAUCUGGAUUUAUGGUAUUUUGUUGAACAAAAGAACAUUUAAUAACCAAUAUCGAUUCUCCAGUAUUUUAUAUUCCAUUUCUGACUUUUAGCAUGCGAACUUUUAUAGCUCUUGUAAGAGGUUUAGUACUUAGCACAAUAUUCAUAUUUUGUAAUUGCAAUUUAGCUAAGACAUCUUGCAGUUGUAGCAUGGCAGGUAUUAAUCAGGGUUGAAAUUAUAAAAGAAAAUGGAAAUAAUAUAAUCAAUCUCUGUCUUCAAUAAACAUUACACGCAUACCAACGAACAAGCUGGAGGAAAACAAAAAAGUGGAGAAGAGGAACUACAACAUUAGAUUUCAGGAAUACGGAUUAUGAGUGCCCUAUUUGAGUCCCAUUUUUUCAAGAAUUCAUUUUUUCAAAUCUCACUUUCAACUAUACAUUCUCUCAUAAAAUAAAAUACGUAUUUUAAACAUUUUUCUUGAUUUUUAACCACACAUUCUCCAAAAAAUCACUAUUCUAUAAUCCAUUUUACCCAAGAAUGGGGAUCAAACAGGGACUAGAUUUCCAUUACAAAGUAAACUUUACCUUUCUCUUCACUAUUUUGUCUUGGUCAGUGGUGGAUCUAGGAGUUGGAGCCAACUAGGGCAGUUGGUAACCGUCGACUGAUGCAUUAACAAGAUCGUUUAUUAAUAUUUUAUUAAAUAAUAUUAAAAAAAUUUAAUUAAUAUAUAAAUGCAGUAAAACGUAAAUCACAUAUUAACAAUCAUCAAGUUUCCAUUUCCAAAUUUCACAAAUACUAGUAGAUUCCAUAAGUCCACAAACACUAAUAGUUUUUAUUUCCAAAAUCCCUAAUUUUCACAAAAUCCUCAAUUUUCACGAAUUUCAUAGUCCACAUAUAUGAUAUCGCAUAUCCUCAAACUCAUGAAGCCUCCAAUUUUCGUAAAUAAUAUUAGAGGUUCGUGACUCAUGAAGUCACAAACUAACAGUAAAUAUUCAUAAAACAUAAAUUCAUAAAUCAUAACUGAUUAUUUUAACUGAUAGCUCAUAAUUUGAUAAAUAAUAAAUCAAAAAACGAACAGAAACCAAAAAAAAAGAAAAAAAGGAGAAAUGAAGAGAGGCAGGAGACUCACCACUCAUGUCCCGCCAUCACGAGUGGAAUUAGUUACCAGUGAUACAGUGGUGGUGUAGU
rnacentral:lncRNA from 1 species